AGCUAAACGUGGAGAAGAUCUUCUCAAGGCAGAGGAGCUUGCAGCAAAAUACCGCGCCACUGGAACUGCUCCAAAGAAAAUCCUUGGAAUAUUUUGAAGCAGCAAGUACCAGGUCUGCAUCGAUACUGAUUGGGAGUUGCAUUUUGUAAAGUUUGUGCAAUUGGAUUUUUUCUUCUUGUUAGAUUACAUUUGUGUGAUUAUAUAUUUUAGAACCAUUUAUUGUUUAUUGUUACGUGUGCAUAGUAAUGUAUUUCCAGUGUAUAUAGCAUCUGGACAAAAUUAACUUUGUGGGAUUGUUAUGGAAAAAAAAUAUGUUGAAGG
rnacentral:misc_RNA from 1 species